rnacentral:lncRNA from 1 species
AUUGAUUAAGCCGACAAAAUUAAAAAUAUUAAUUCAAUUAAGUGUGUUUAAAAAUAAAGAUAAAUCCAAAAGAGUAAUUGAUAACACUGGCACCGAUUCUGAUUGGGAGACCGCCGACGACGGACUCGCUGCUGUAAGGGUUCCUAACGGCGGUGGCAGGGGAGGGUGGGCGCGAGAAGGGUGGCAGAAAGGAUCCGCCGACGGCAGCGAAUCUUCCUGUGACGGAUCGGGAGCGGAGGACCGCCGACGAGGACAUAUGAUUUCUAACGAAGAAAAAAGAAAACCUUAAAAGUCCCCAAAACAAAAGGGAAAAUAAAAUAAAGAUUAUAAUGAAAAAAAGAUUAACAUUGUACCUUAGGAUGGAUGAUGGAUCAACGCCCCCUGGUCAAUGCUUCGUCUCUUGCCGUCUUACCGCGAUGAGACGCCCUGCAGAGAGUGGAUGAGUCGCGUUGGAG